AGUGCCUAUUUGACAAAGGCUCCAAAGGAAGCCACGGCUAACUCUGUGCCAGCAGCCGCGGUAAUACAGAGGUGGCAAGCGUUGUUCGGAAUUAUUGGGCGUAAAGAGCACGUAGGUGGAUUUGUUAGUCAGAUGUGAAAGCCUUUCGUUCAACGGAAGAAUUGCAUCUGAAACUACAAACCUUGAGUAUAGGAGGGGAGAGUGGAACUUCUGGUGGAGCGGUGAAAUGCGUAGAUAUCAGAAGGAACGCCGGCGGCGAAAGCGACUCUCUGGCCUAUAACUGACACUGAGUGUGCGAAAGCUAGGGGAGCAAACGGGAUUAGAUACCCCGGUAGUCCUAGCCGUAAACGAUGGGCACUAAGUAGAGG
rnacentral:rRNA from 1 species